AGCAUUCUUAACAACCUAUUAGAAUAACUUCUCUCUCCCUCUUUGCCUCACAAUCUUUGUCCUCAGCCAUUUUAUAGUCUUUGAUACACUUGCUAACACAGUAUUUGUACAGUCCCUUGAAUUGGCACCUUUAUACCAACUUUCUUAAAAUCUCCUUUUCUAACUCCCCACCAGCUUCUCUUCUUCUUGACCCUCAUUGUCAGAACCUCUCAGGAUUCAAUUCUGGUUCUUGGUGGGACACUGGUUCUUCCUCAUCCCAUGACCACUCCUCAUUCUGUGUCCUGUGUAACAAAGCCUCAUUCUGUGUCCUGUGCAAUGAAGCCUCAUUCUGUGUCUGUAACAAAGCCUCAUUCUGUGUCUGUGCAAUGAAGUCUCAUUCUGUGUCCUGUGCAAUGAAGUCCCAUUCUGUGUCUGUAACGAAACCUCUUUCUGUGUCCUGUGUAAUUAAUUGCAUGCUUCUCUCUCCAUGUGAAUGAAUAUGGAUCUUUAUGAAAGGACCUUUUGUUGUGGCCUUCCUCAUCCCUAAAGACAUUGUAAAAUAGUAAGUUGGUAGAUAAAAGUUGAAUUGACUCACUUAGUAUUACCUUACUCCCAGUACCUAGCACUGCUUAGUACUUCCUAGUACUCUUUGAACUCAUCCCCUCUUCAUUCAUUCAUAGAGCUUGAUUGCCAUUAUAGAAAUGCUACCAACCUUAGCUUAUGCCCUGCUAAUGUCAGUGUGCCACUGGAAUACCUACUCCUUCAACAGACAAGCCAUACACACAGCAAACACUGUGGCUCUUUGUCUGCCCUCUCCCCAACUGUGUGUUCCUUAAACUUUGGUCUUGAAUGUCAUGGACGUGGUGAUUCCCCUGGGAUUCAUGGAUCUUAUUUCAGAGACUCCUUUUAUGCGGGGUCUUAUAUCUGUGUAUGUGUACCUUCUGUUUUGUGAGAGGCGAUGUCAAUUAUUACCUAUUGUUGCACUGACUUGUAGGUAGAUCAGUAGGAGAUUUAGAUGCUCUUAUGCUGUGAGUUUGAUGUUAUUUCAUUAGCUGCAUGGUGUUUUCUGAUCUUGCAUUGAUUAGUUACUUUUUAAAAGUAUGAGCCAACAGUUCAGGAAUGCCUCCACAGUAUUCAAAAGGGAGGCAAUUUAAUGUUAUGAUCAGUUCUAGGUGGUAGUUCUUUAGAUUUUAUGUUUCAUUGGUCAUAAAAAUGUAAAAAAAAUGUAAAGGUACGAUAUUAAUAUAACUAUUAAAAUAACAACUGCUGCCUGUUAUCACUGUCAUGUAACAAAAGAUGUUUUAACUCCAAAAAGUAGGGGGCUAUGUGGUGACAGUAUGAACUGAAUAAACUAAAUGUUGUUAUAGAACUUUAUGUUAGAUGUACUCUUCUCAUUUUGCCUCGUAUGAUAGAACUUUUAUCAUACACCAGAACUGACCUAGUGUCUAACUUUCGACAUCUACCACUGUAGAUGUCAAACUGGCAUUUGUUUUAACAUUAAACCUUGUAAGAGGCUGGCAGUUCCUCUGGUGUUCAUCUAAUAUGCAGCAGACUGACAUUUAUUUUAACAUUAAACAUUGUAAAAGGUUGACAUCUAGUGUUCAUCUCAUAUGCAGUAGCUCAUAUUGUACAGGCGAAGUAGUAACCCCCCAUUUCACACACUCCUCUUACUGUGUGGUCCUACCAUUUCUAGCAUAGCAAUGCCAGUUUCUGGUCUCUCUUGAAUCCAGGGAGCCCAUGACUGUAGUUGAAAAUGGUCCUGUGUCAUUUCCAGUGCUAGGUUAUAAGAGGUUGGUUUGGCUUCUGCCUCAGUCUCUUAAGAUCCUGCCCUAGAAGCCAGUCUGUGGGGAGUCCAGCAAGGGAAGGAACUGUUGCUCAAGCCUGCAGCGCUGGCUGUGCUCUGCCCAGCUUAGCCAUUGCUCUCAACCUGCCCAGAUCAUGCAGUCAUCUUGGAAGUGAAUUCUCCAAUCAAGCCCCUGUUUGAUGUUAUGUGGAAUGGAGACACACUUUCUCUGCCAAGUUCUACCAAAAUCAUGAGCUUCUGAGAUAAAUAAAUGUUUUUGUUUUAAGCU
rnacentral:lncRNA from 14 species